GCGCCUGUAGCUCAGGGGAUAGAGCAUUGGUUUCCUAAACCAUGUGUCGGAGGUUCGAAUCCUUCCAGGCGCACCA
rnacentral:tRNA from 4 species